UAUAACCGGCGAUACCCGAAUGGGGAAACCCAGUGUGACUCGUCACACUAUCAUUAACUGAAUCCAUAGGUUAAUGAGGCGAACCGGGGGAACUGAAACAUCUAAGUACCCCGAGGAAAAGAAAUCAACCGAGAUUCCCCCAGUAGCGGCGAGCGAACGGGGAGGAGCCCAGAGCCUGAAUCAGCAUGUGUGUUAGUGGAAGCGUCUGGAAAGGCGCGCGAUACAGGGUGACAGCCCCGUACACAAAAGCGCAUGUGCUGUGAGCUCGAUGAGUAGGGCGGGACACGUGGUAUCCUGUCUGAAUAUGGGGGGACCAUCCUCCAAGGCUAAAUACUCCUGACUGACCGAUAGUGAACCAGUACCGUGAGGGAAAGGCGAAAAGAACCCCGGCGAGGGGAGUGAAAAAGAACCUGAAACCGUGUACGUACAAGCAGUGGGAGCACCCUUUGGGUGUGACUGCGUACCUUUUGUAUAAUGGGUCAGCGACUUAUAUUCUGUAGCAAGGUUAACCGAAUAGGGGAGCCGGAGGGAAACCGAGUCUUAAUUGGGCGUUAAGUUGCAGGGUAUAGACCCGAAACCCGGUGAUCUAGCCAUGGGCAGGUUGAAGGUUGGGUAACACUAACUGGAGGACCGAACCGACUAAUGUUGAAAAAUUAGCGGAUGACCUGUGGCUGGGGGUGAAAGGCCAAUCAAACCGGGAGAUAGCUGGUUCUCCCCGAAAGCUAUUUAGGUAGCGCCUCGUGAAUUCAUCUCCGGGGGUAGAGCACUGUUUCGGCUAGGGGGCCAUCCCGGCUUACCAACCCGAUGCAAACUGCGAAUACCGGAGAAUGUUAUCACGGGAGACACACGGCGGGUGCUAACGUCCGUCGUGAAGAGGGAAACAACCCAGACCGCCAGCUAAGGUCCCAAAGUCAUGGUUAAGUGGGAAACGAUGUGGGAAGGCCCAGACAGCCAGGAUGUUGGCUUAGAAGCAGCCAUCAUUUAAAGAAAGCGUAAUAGCUCACUGGUCGAGUCGGCCUGCGCGGAAGAUGUAACGGGGCUAAACCAUGCACCGAAGCUGCGGCAGCGACACUGUGUGUUGUUGGGUAGGGGAGCGUUCUGUAAGCCUGUGAAGGUGUGUCGUGAGGCAUGCUGGAGGUAUCAGAAGUGCGAAUGCUGACAUAAGUAACGAUAAAGCGGGUGAAAAGCCCGCUCGCCGGAAGACCAAGGGUUCCUGUCCAACGUUAAUCGGGGCAGGGUGAGUCGACCCCUAAGGCGAGGCCGAAAGGCGUAGUCGAUGGGAAACGGGUUAAUAUUCCCGUACUUGGUGUUACUGCGAAGGGGGGACGGAGAAGGCUAUGUUGGCCGGGCGACGGUUGUCCCGGUUUAAGCGUGUAGGUGUGUGUUCCAGGUAAAUCCGGUUCACUUUAACACUGAGGCGUGACGACGAGGCACUACGGUGCUGAAGCAACAAAUGCCCUGCUUCCAGGAAAAGCCUCUAAGCAUCAGGUAACAUCAAAUCGUACCCCAAACCGACACAGGUGGUCAGGUAGAGAAUACCAAGGCGCUUGAGAGAACUCGGGUGAAGGAACUAGGCAAAAUGGUGCCGUAACUUCGGGAGAAGGCACGCUGACACGUAGGUGAAGUGAUUUACUCAUGGAGCUGAAGUCAGUCGAAGAUACCAGCUGGCUGCAACUGUUUAUUAAAAACACAGCACUGUGCAAACACGAAAGUGGACGUAUACGGUGUGACGCCUGCCCGGUGCCGGAAGGUUAAUUGAUGGGGUCAGCGCAAGCGAAGCUCCUGAUCGAAGCCCCGGUAAACGGCGGCCGUAACUAUAACGGUCCUAAGGUAGCGAAAUUCCUUGUCGGGUAAGUUCCGACCUGCACGAAUGGCGUAAUGAUGGCCAGGCUGUCUCCACCCGAGACUCAGUGAAAUUGAACUCGCUGUGAAGAUGCAGUGUACCCGCGGCAAGACGGAAAGACCCCGUGAACCUUUACUAUAGCUUGACACUGAACAUUGAGCCUUGAUGUGUAGGAUAGGUGGGAGGCUUUGAAGUGUGGACGCCAGUCUGCAUGGAGCCGACCUUGAAAUACCACCCUUUAAUGUUUGAUGUUCUAACGUGGACCCGUUACCCGGGUUGCGGACAGUGUCUGGUGGGUAGUUUGACUGGGGCGGUCUCCUCCUAAAGAGUAACGGAGGAGCACGAAGGUUGGCUAAUCCUGGUCGGACAUCAGGAGGUUAGUGCAAUGGCAUAAGCCAGCUUGACUGCGAGCGUGACGGCGCGAGCAGGUGCGAAAGCAGGUCAUAGUGAUCCGGUGGUUCUGAAUGGAAGGGCCAUCGCUCAACGGAUAAAAGGUACUCCGGGGAUAACAGGCUGAUACCGCCCAAGAGUUCAUAUCGACGGCGGUGUUUGGCACCUCGAUGUCGGCUCAUCACAUCCUGGGGCUGAAGUAGGUCCCAAGGGUAUGGCUGUUCGCCAUUUAAAGUGGUACGCGAGCUGGGUUUAGAACGUCGUGAGACAGUUCGGUCCCUAUCUGCCGUGGGCGCUGGAGAACUGAGGGGGGCUGCUCCUAGUACGAGAGGACCGGAGUGGACGCAUCACUGGUGUUCGGGUUGUCAUGCCAAUGGCACUGCCCGGUAGCUAAAUGCGGAAGAGAUAAGUGCUGAAAGCAUCUAAGCACGAAACUUGCCCCGAG
rnacentral:rRNA from 1 species